rnacentral:rRNA from 1 species
AGCAGCCGCGGUAAUUCCAGCUCCAAUAGCGUAUAUUAAAGUUGUUGCAGUUAAAAAGCUCGUAGUUGAAUUUCGGGGUUCUACCGUUGGUCGGGCUUUGUCUGUACUGGCGUGUAGAAUUUCUACCUUCUGGGGAACCAUCAUGUUAUUAAUUUAGCGUGGUGGGAAACCAGGACCUUUACCUUGAAAAAAUUAGAGUGUUCAAAGCAGGCUUAUGUCUGAAUACAUUAGCAUGGAAUAAUAGAAUAGGACGGUGGUCCUGUUUUGUUGGUUUCUGAAUCACCGUAAUGAUUAAUAGGGAUAGUUGGGGGCAUUAGUAUUCAAUUGUCAGAGGUGAAAUUCUUGGAUUUAUUGAAGACUAACUUCUGCGAAAGCAUUUGCCAAGGAUGUUUUCAUUAAUCAAGAACGAAAGUUAGGGGAUCGAAGACGAUCAGAUACCGUCGUAGUCUUAACCAUAAACUAUGCCGACUAGGGAUCGGACGAUGUUAACUUUUCUUGACUCGUUCGGCGCCUUACGGGA